rnacentral:rRNA from 1 species
GACGAACGCUGGCGGCGUGCCUAAUACAUGCAAGUUGAGCGCUGAAGGUUGGUACUUGUACCAACUGGAUGAGCAGCGAACGGGUGAGUAACGCGUGGGGAAUCUGCCUUUGAGCGGGGGACAACAUUGGGAAACGAAUGCUAAUACCGCAUAAAAACUUUAAACACAAGUUUUAAGUUUGAAAGAUGCAAUUGCAUCACUCAAAGAUGAUCCCGCGUUGUAUUAGCUAGUUGGUGAGGUAAAGGCUCACCAAGGCGAUGAUACAUAGCCGACCUGAGAGGGUGAUUGGCCACAUUGGGACUGAGACACGGCCCAAACGCCUACGGGAGGCAGCAGUAGGGAAUCUUCGGCAAUGGACGAAAGUCUGACCGAGCAACGCCGCGUGAGUGAAGAAGGUUUUCGGAUCGUAAAACUCUGUUGGUAGAGAAGAACGUUGGUGAGAGUGGAAAGCUCAUCAAGUGACGGUAACUACCCAGAAAGGGACGGCUAACUACGUG